rnacentral:rRNA from 1 species
AUUGAACGCUGGCGGCAUGCCUUACACAUGCAAGUCGAACGGCAGCGCGGGAGCAAUCCUGGCGGCGAGUGGCGAACGGGUGAGUAAUACAUCGGAACGUGCCCAAUCGUGAGGGAUAACGCAGCGAAAGCUGUGCUAAUACCGCAUACGAUCUACGGAUGAAAGCAGGGGAUCGCAAGACCUUGCGCGAAUGGAGCGGCCGAUGGCAGAUUAGGUAGUUGGUGAGGUAAAGGCUCACCAAGCCUUCGAUCUGUAGCUGGUCUGAGAGGACGACCAGCCACACUGGGACUGAGACACGGCCCAGACUCCUACGGGAGGCAGCAGUGGGGAAUUUUGGACAAUGGGCGAAAGCCUGAUCCAGCCAUGCCGCGUGCAGGAUGAAGGCCUUCGGGUUGUAAACUGCUUUUGUACGGAACGAAACGGUCUUUUCUAAUAAAGAAGGCUAAUGACGGUACCGUAAGAAUAAGCACCGGCUAACUACGUG